AGGGAGGGGGGGUGGUAGUAUCGGUGUGUGGUUUAAGUUUAACCACAGAACUAGUCCUCUAUAGAGGUAGUAGUUUAACCACAGAACUAGUCCUCUAUAGAGGUAGUAGUUUAACCACAGAACUAGUCCUCUAUAGAGGUAGUAGUUUAACCACAGAACUAGUCCUCUAUAGAGGUAGUAGUUUAACCACAGAACUAGUCCUCUAUAGAGGUAGUAGUUUAACCACAGAACCAGUGGUUAAACUAAGCCCACUGACAGUCAGCUAGCCUCCUCUCUCUCUCCCCCUGACAACUCUCAGUUCACCUCUAUACAGCAAUAGGAUUACCAACUCCUCAUUCUGAAUCCAAAAUGUCAAGGUCCAGAGAUUUGACACGGAAUCUUCUAGUGUGACUUCACCACAAGUCUCUCCGUUACUCUGAGACGAGGGCUACAUGCAGAUCAGUUGUCAAAUCAGAAAUGUAAUUCAUGACUUAAAAUGGCUGUUUAUUAAUUAACUCAAUUCAAUUCUGAACUGACCCCAACCUUAAUGUGAAGGGUAUGACUAGUGCCAAAUGGAAACAUUUUUUUUAUGAUAUUUAACUAGGCAAGUCAGUUAAGAACAAAUUCUUAUUUACAAUGACGACCUACUCCAACAACACUGGUCCAAUUUGCGCCUCCCUAUGGGACUCUCAUUCAUGGCAGGUUGUGAUACUGCUUGGUCUGUAGGGACGCCUUUAGCACUGAGAUACAGUGCCUUAGACCGCUGCGCCACUCGGGCAGGACCAGUGAUUACAAGUCAUGUGUAACUGACCAUUUAGAAUAAAUAGUGACUUAGGACAUUUACCUGUACUACUGAUGCCUCAUAAACACCUAUGAGAAUACUGCCAGACAGCUUCUGCUGCCUAGUGGAACGUCCAGGACCCCCGGUAAACUUCUGUUUCAGACUCAUUUGGUUACACUGCUGUUAUGGAGCCAUGCAUGUUCGUUUUUUCAUUUCCUUCUCGAUUUGCCUUUACUUUGUCUAUAUUUCGUCGUACAGCAUAAGGAGGCGUAUCCCAGCUGUCCUUGUGGCAGAGAAGAGGGUUAUUGAUACAUGUUUCUGCUGCAUUGUGGGUGUUUGUUUUAGUCCAUAUGGAGCACAUUGAUCCAACGAGCAGGAAGUGAAAAAUAUUUUUUUAAAUAACGUGUUUUUUCUUAGUUGUAAUAAUCCAACCACGUGAUUAUUUCAAAUGCAUUUCACAUUUCCACCUACAAGGUUGAGAUAUGUGAAGGAACAGAACAGAGAGAAACUUGGGGACAUGGUGAAGUACUGAAUGAGAAGUCUUCAUAUGUAUGUGCUAUUUGUCUGCUUCCUGCCGUUCUACUGCCUCUGGUUAUGAUGACAACUAUUUUGUUCUGCCUUUGGACCCAAAUAGUUCCGCAAACUGGAAUUAACAUUUCAUUUCAAUGUGAAGUAUUCAUGUUGUGUUUAACUUGUUUUUCACCAAGGACUGAAAUGACAGAUUGCAGAUUCUAUGAUUUUCAAAACCAGUGAAAAACCAGUCUCUCUUUUUACGUGUUCAUAUUAGAAGGGCCUGUUUUGACCCUGAGCCAGUCCUAAUAUGGACACCAUAGCUGCCAACAGUUUGGCUCAAUAUUCACCGGCCGCCAUUUUGUUCAAAUAGCAACGCUAGUUUUUGACGUCUCUUUAUCUACCAGAAAACGACAUCUGUACUUGGUUGGAAAGGUUUUGGCCCCUUAGUAUUCUCCUAUACAGUAUGUAGUUGGAAAGGUUUUGGCCCCUUAGUAUUCUCCUAAACAGUAUGUAGUUGGAAAGGUUUUGGCCCCUUAGUAUUCUCCUAUACAGAAUGUAGUUGGAAAGGUUUUGGCCCCUUAGUAUUCUCCUAAACAGUAUGUAGUUGGAAAGGUUUUGGCCCCUUAGUAUUCUCCUAUACAGUAUGUAGUUGGAAAGGUUUUGGCCCCUUAGUAUUCUCCUAUACAGUAUGUAGUUGGAAAGGUUUUGGCCCCUUAGUAUUCUCCUAUACAGUAUGUAGUUGGAAAGGUUUUGGCCCCUUAGUAUUCUCCUAUACAGUAUGUAGUUGGAAAGGUUUUGGCCCCUUGGUAUUCUCCUAUACAAUAUGUAGUUGGAAAGGUUUUGGCCCCUUAGUAUUCUCCUAUACAGUAUGUAGUUGGAAAGGUUUCGGCCCCUUAGUAUUCUCCUAAACAGUAUGUAGUUGGAAAGGUUUUGGCCCCUUAGUAUUCUCCUAUACAGUAUGUAGUUGGAAAGGUUUUGGCCCCUUAGUAUUCUCCUAUACAGUAUGUAGUUGGAAAGGUUUUGGCCCCUUAGUAUUCUCCUAUACAGUAUGUAGUUGGAAAGGUUUUGGCCCCUUAGUAUUCUCCUAUACAGUAUGUAGUUGGAAAGGUUUUGGCCCCUUGGUAUUCUCCUAUACAAUAUGUAGUUGGAAAGGUUUUGGCCCCUUAGUAUUCUCCUGUACAGUAUGUAGUUGGAAAGGUUUUGGCCCCUUAGUAUUCUCCUAUACAGUAUGUAGUUGGAAAGGUUUUGGCCCCUUAGUAUUCUCCUAAACAGUAUGUAGUUGGAAAGGUUUUGGCCCCUUAGUAUUCUCCUAUACAGUAUGUAGUUGGAAAGGUUUUGGCCCCUUAGUAUUCUCCUAUACAGUAUGUAGUUGGAAAGUAUUCUAUGACACAAUCAGCAGCACAAGUACUGUAUCCUCCACCACUGCAGUAGAACUGUAUUAGCUAUGCCUGUUGUACCUAAUACUAUAUCAUCAUGCAUGAUACCUCAAUGUGAGUGUUAUUGCUCUUUACCCUGAGUAUUUGUUAGUUCAAUUAAUAGUAUUUUCCAUUUUUGUCCCGAGGAAAGAUGGUUUGAGGGACAGCUUCUAUUGCUGUUUGGAGAUGGAAAGAAAUCAGUAGCACAAAUUCUGUAGUAACUUUCUGUUGUUAAGGUAAAACACACCAUGGAAAAGGUUUAAGUGUUUAAUACCUUACACCACUGUAUACAGUUAAUUCACAAACAUACACUUACUGUUCAGUAUAGGAUUCAUCUUUACUGUUCAGAAUAGGAUUCAUCUUUACUGUUCAGUAUAGGAUUCAUCUUUACUGUUCAGAAUAGGAUUCAUCUUUACUGUUCAGAAUAGGAUUCAUCUUUACUGUUCAAUAUAGGAUUCAUCUUUACUGUUCAGUAUAGGAUUCAUCUUUACUGUUCAGUAUAGGAUUCAUCUUUACUGUUCAGCAUAGGAUUCAUCUUUACUGUCAAAUAUAGGAUUCAUCUUUACUGUUCAGUAUAGGAUUCAUCUUUACUGUUCAGUAUAGGAUUCAUCUUUACUGUUCAGUAUAGGAUUCAUCUUUACUGUUCAGCAUAGGAUUCAUCUUUACUGUCAAAUAUAGGAUUCAUCUUUACUGUUCAGUAUAAGAUUAAUCUUUACUGUCAAAUAUAGGAUUCAUCUUUACUGUUCAGUAUAGGAUUCAUCUUUACUGUUCAGUAUAGGAUUCAUCUUUACUGUUCAGUAUAGGAUUCAUCUUUACUGUUCAGUAUAGGAUUCAUCUUUACUGUUCAGCAUAGGAUUCAUCUUUACUGUUCAGUAUAGGAUUCAUCUUUACUGUUCAGCAUAGGAUUCAUCUUUACUGUCAAAUAUAGGAUUCAUCUUUACUGUUCAGUAUAAGAUUAAUCUUUACUGUCAAAUAUAGGAUUCAUCUUUACUGUUCAGUAUAGGAUUCAUCUUUACUGUUCAGUAUAGGAUUCAUCUUUACUGUUCAGUAUAGGAUUAAUCUUUACUGUCAAAUAUAGGAUUCAUCUUUACUGUUCAGUAUAGGAUUCAUCUUUACUGUUCAGUAUAGGAUUCAUAGUCAUCCUGGCUUCUACUGUUAAUUUAGUCAUAUUUAUCAUGACCGAUGUUUUGGUCUGUCACUGUUUUUUAAAAACUAUUUCAACAUAUUCAAAAAUACUUCUGUUUAUUUUAUUGUGUUGAUGAAGUGUAUUUAAUAACAUGAAUGAGGGUUUUUACAGACGCAGCACACGUCACCUCAUUCAGUAUUAUCUUCGGAUGAUUUUUCAAUACAUCCUGAUAAUUUGACACAAUCUUAAUUGCAUCUUAAUUGCACAAAUUGUCGUAUUAGAGAGGACGCAUUCUUUCGGUUACAUUUUUUGUGUUGAAAUUGAUAUACCUAUCAAACCAAUGUAAUUGUACAGUCGUUUGGACUUUCCUCCAGAUUGAACACACUAUUGUCCCAUGACAAAAUGUGAAUAGUAUUUUUAUAAAGCACAGAGACGAGGCGACCCGCUGACAUGUGUCCAUAGGAGGAGAAUGCUUUGACCUUUUCCCACUCUUCUCUCUGUUUCACUUUCUUUUCUUUUCCUGUUCUUUUUCCCUUGUCUGUUUAUCAGGUGUCAGCGUUAGAUAUGACAGAGCUUCUGUGUGUACGGUAUGUGUACUUUGGGUAGUACAUUUUGAUUUGAAAUGUAAAACACCCUUGUUGGGUACUCGCCUGUGAAACUGGCUAGUUGACCUGUAUGAAGCAUCUCUCUGUGAGUUCUCUAUUUAAUAUCUGUGUUGGGGUUAACAAUGGUUUAUAUCUUCUUCUUUUUUACCUCUCUCUCUCUCUCUCUCUCUCUCUCUCACUCUCUCCCUCUCUCAAAAUACUUCAGAGCAGUGUUGCCAACUCAACCUGACAAGAUAUGUCUCAGCCCAUUUUCUAUUUCAGUGGUGUGCUAUCCAGUCCAUCUUUCUGCUUGUUUAUCAGUCCAGUGUGCACAUGUACAUUCACCCCUGAGCCAACAUUUUCCAUGAUUUCCAUGUUCGAAGACAUCAAGGUUGAAUUGGAAGAUGUAGAAAUUGAGAUCAAUAUCGUGAGGCACCUCCCACUUGACUGGCCUGUACAGUACGUGAACACAAACUACUAAAGUUAUUUUGAUGUAAUGUUUGAUUUAACUGCAUGCUUAUUUAUAAAUGUCGUCAAACACUGACAGAGACACAGUGUCCCUCCCUUUUUCCCGGUUCAGCCUCUCUAGCUCCUACUCCCUGCCUCCCCACAGAACGUUGGCAGCACUGGCUACAACUCUCCACUGAACUUUAGACCAUACCUAAAGCUUGAUAUCAUGGAAGUACUGUUCCUCAUAUUUGUUACAUGAAUCUGUCAAAAAAUAUAUUUUUAAUUUAAUAUAAAUAAAGAUUGAUUCAAUAUUU